CCUACGGGAGGCAGCAGUGAGGAAUAUUUGUCAAUGGGCGCGAGCCUGAACCAGCCAAGUAGCGUGAAGGAUGACUGCCCUGCGGGUUGUAAACUUCUUUUAUGAAGGAAUAAAGUGAGGCACGUGUGCCUUUUUGUAUGUACUUUAUGAAUACGGAUCGGCUAACUCCGUGCCUGCAGCCGCGGUAAUACGGAGGAUCCGAGCGUUGUCCGGAAGUAUUGGGUGUAAAGGGCGCGUAGAUGGGUUGUUAAGUCGGGUGUGAAAGUCUGCGGCUCAACCGUCAGACGGCAAUUGAUACUGGCAGACGUGAGUAAAGUAGAGGUAAGCGGAAUUCGUGGUGUAGCAGUGAAAUGCGUAGAUAUCGAGAAGAACACUGAUGGCGAAGGCAGGUUACUGAACAUUCACUGACAUUGAGGCACGAAGGUGAGGGGAGCGAAAGGGAUUAGAUACCCUAGUAGUC
rnacentral:rRNA from 1 species